GGAGCGUGCGCCGGGGAAUGAGACACGAGGUUAGCUGGUUGCUGCUUUGAAAAAGAAGCACGUGGCCAUCCCUAUGAUAUUGGACUCAAGGUUCGAGAUUGAGAUGUCGCCAUCCCCUGCAGUGGGUGGCAAGUACAAAAAAAAAAAGAAGACGGAGGACAAGACGUCCACUGUUUCGC